rnacentral:tRNA from 1 species
GCGGGAAUAGCUCAGUUGGUAGAGCACGACCUUGCCAAGGUCGGGNNGGGGUCGCGAGUUCGAGUCUCGUUUCCCGCUCCA